rnacentral:snRNA from 1 species
AUACUUUAGGACUAGCAGCACAUGUACUAAAAUUGGAAUACUAAGUGAAGAUUAGCAUGGCCCCUGCGCAAGGAUGGCACACAAA